CAUAGGGCCUGGUCAAACGAAGUGCACUAAAUAUAGGGAAUAGGAUGCCAUUUCAAAUGCAAACCAGUAUUUUUAAAUAAGUAUUUAUGGUUUUCGUUUUGUUGUCUUUUGUUUUGAACUGUGAGUAAUUUGUAUACAGUGUAUUUGGGAAAAUAUUCAGACCCCUUCACUUUUUACAGUUUGUUACGUUACAUUCAUUCUUAUUCUAAAAUGUAUUCCAUUGUUUUUUCCCCCUCCAUCAAUUUACACACAAUACCCCAUAAUGACAUCACAAUACCCCAUAAUGACAUCACAAUAACCCAUAAUGACAAAGAAAAAACAGGUUUUUCGAAAUGUUUGCAAAAAUAUUAUUUAAAUUUUUUUUAAAUACCAAAAUAUUUCAUUUACAUAAGUAUUCAGACCCUUUACUCAGUACUUUGUUGAAGCACCUUUUUUAUUUUUUUUAUUUUUUUAACCUUUAUUUAACUACACAAGUCAGUUAAGAAUAAAUUCUUAUUUUCAAUGACAGCCUAGGAACAGUGGGUUAACUGCCUGUUCAGGGGCAGAACGACAGAUUUGUACCUUGUCAGCUCGGGGGUUUGAACUUGCAACCUUCCAACGCUCUAACCACUAGGCUACCCUGCCGCCCCAGUGAUUACAGCCUCGAGUCUUCUUGGUUAUGACACUACAAGCUUGGCACACCUGUAUUUGGGGAGUUUCUCCCAUUCUUCUCAGCAGAUCCUCUCAAGCUCUGUCAGGCUGGAUGGGGAUCGUUGCGGCACAGCUAUUUUCAGGUCUCUCCAGAGGUGUUCUCUCGGGUUUAAGUCCAAGUUCUGGCUGGGCCACUCAAGGACAUUCAGAGACUUGUCCCCUAAGCCACUCCUGCGUUGUCUUGGCUGUGUGCUUAGGGUCAUUGUCCCAUUGGAAGGUGAACCUUCGCCCCAGUCUGAGGUCCUGAUCGCUCUGGAGCAGGUUUUCAUCAAGGAUCUCUGCCUCUGAAAAACGACCAACAGCAUGAUGCUGCCACCACCAUGCUUCACCGUAGGGAUGGUGCCAGGUUUUCUCCAGAUGUGAAGCUUGGCAUUCAGGCCAAAGAGUUCAAUCUUGGUUACAUCAGACCAUAGAAUCUUAUUUUUCAUGGUCUGCGUCCUUUAGGUGCCUUUUGAAAAACUCCAAGCGGGCUGUUAUGUGCCUUUUACUGAGGAGUGGCUUCUGUCUGGCCAUUCUACCAUAAAGGCCUGAUUGGUGGAGUGCUGCAGAGAAAGUUGUCCUUCUGGAAGGUUCUCCCAUCUCCACAGAGAAACUCUGGAGCUCUGUCGGAGCGACCAUCGGGUUCUUGGUCACCUCCCUGACCAAGGCCCUUCUCCCCUGAUUUCUCAGUUUGGCCGGGCAGCCAGCUCUAGGAAGAGUCUUGGUGGUUCCAAACUUCUUCCAUUUAAGAAUGAUGGGAGGCCACUGUGUUCUUGGGGACCUUGGAUGCGCAGACAUUUUUUGGUAUGCUUCCCCAGAUCCUGUGCCUCGACACAAUCCUGUAUCGGAGCUCUACAGAAAAUUCCUUAUACCUAAUGGCUUGGUUUUUGCUCUGACUCGCACUUUGAACUGUGGGACCUUAUAUAGACAGGUGUGUGCCUUUCCAAAACAUGUCCAAUCAAUUGAAUUUACCACAGGUUGGACUCCAAUCAAGUUGUAGAAACAUCUCAAGGAUGAUCAAUGGAAACAGGAUGCACCUGAGCUCAAUUCCGAGUCUCAUAGCAAAGGGUCUUAAUACUUAUGUAAAUAACAUAUUUCUGUUUUUUUUAUUUUAUAAAUUUGCACAAAAAAAACAACCCUGUUUCCACUUUGUCAUUAUAAGGUAUUGUGUGUAGAUUGAUGAGAACAUUUUUUUAUUUAAUCCAUUUUAGAAUAAGGCUGUAAUGUAAUGUGGAAAAGGUCAAGGGGUCUGACUACUUUCCGAAUGCUCUGUAUAUCUGUUUAUUUAUUACUGUUUGUUGGGGAAAAAACUUCUGGACUCUUGGCCAUUUGUCCAGUGAAAAGUGCCAGCCUAAUCCUUCCUACUGACAUGCUGCUUUAUAGCACUGUUAGCCUAACCUCUCCUACUGACAUGCUGCUUUAUAGCACUGUUAGCCUAACCCUCUCCUACUAACAUGCUGCUUUAUAGCACUGUUAGCCUAACCCUCUCCUACUAACAUGCUGCUUUAUAGCACUGUUAGCCUAACCCUCUCCUACUAACAUGCUGCUUUAUAGCACUGUUAGCCUAACCCUCUCCUACUGACACACUGCUUUAUAGCACUGUUAGCCUAACCCUCUCCUACUGACAUGCUGCUUUAUAGCACUGUUAGCCUAACCCUCUCCUACUGACACACUGCUUUAUAGCACUGUUAGCCUAACCCUCUCCUACUGACAUGCUGCUUUAUAGCACUGUUUUUUGUUGUUACCGGAUUCACAGUACCACUUAAUUUCACCUUCCAAUGAGAUCAAAAAUGAGUGCAUUUCAAGUAUUAGAUGGUAUUUUAAAGCAGUCCCGUGAGACAAUGGGCUGCAUCUGAAAAUGAAUGGAUGCAUAUUUUGCCUACAUAGUACACUGCUUUUGUUCCAGGGCCCGCCUUUUGGCCAGGGCCCGCCUUUUGGCCAGGGCCCGCCUUUUGGCCAGGACCCGCGUAGGCAUUUCAGUGGCAGACUUGUUGAAAGGGAUAAGAUUUCUCAAGGUUUGAUGAAUACCACAAAGUUAAACCUUAUCUUACAUUUUAAUUGUCUACUCAUUCAACAAUGCAAUAUGUUCUGAAAUCACCUAAUACAUCACUUAAUACACUCUGACACACACAAUCACACGUAUCACACACUAUCACACAAUCAAAAAUGAACUUCACCAAAAAAUGUUUUCUGUGAGAUGUUGUAUCCUGUUUUAGAAGAGUGUGUUUCAAAAGUGAAUCCAAACCGAAAAAUACAAUAUUGGACAUAUUAGGCAACUUAAUGACAUGCGCAUUACAUUGCCUUGCCAUAUCCAAACACUAAAUGGGUAGCAACCAUCCGGGAGCUACCAGGUGCUGAAUUUAAGACAUUAUCUUUAUCAUACAUUAUCAUUAUACCAAAUCAAUUGUACUGGUUCAUAUCUGAACAGCGUUAUCCCACAGUGAAAUCUUAAAUCUCAAAGCCUAUGCUACUUGUACCGUUCAAUAUGUGGAAAUGGGAGGAAGAUUAGAUGAUUUGCUAGUGCUGGUAGUCUAUCUGGGGAAGAAACAAUAUGUCACUCCUAGGAAGGGAAGCAACAACAAACUUGACUGCCUUAUUUCUUAUUGAUAAGUCCAAGGCCUUACACCAUCUUUACAGACAGACUGUAUAUAAUAGUAUAGUAGUACAUAGAAUCUGCACAUUCUAGAAGCGAUUCUAGAACCAAACAGAUUCUGGAUCUAGAACCAGAGCUUCACUGUUCAUAUCAAGGCAGCUGUUUAAACUCUGAUCAUGUUUUCAAUACUAUUUCUUAUGGUUCCUUUGUUUAUUUGCAGGGUCACUUAAUGCAUCCAUACUGUAUAAAACAACCCACAUUGAGUGUGCCCUUACUCAGUAUCAGUUGUAGAUGGACAGUAGUGUCGGAACAGGCAGACACACCUUUUAGUGGCCAUGGUGUGUUUCUCACAGGCUUGAAAAAAAUAUUGUCAACGUCCCAAAUAUCACCUUAUUCCCUUUAUAGUGCACUACUUUUGAUCAGGGCCCUGGUCCAAAAGUAGUGCACUACAUAGGGAAUAGGGUGCCAUUUAGCUAUGGGCCAUGGUCUAAAGUAGUGCACUACAUAGGGAAUAGGGUGCCAUUUGGGACGCAUGGUUAUAUAAAUGGUAUGGCGAUGGCUAAAUAUGUCAUUGAAGGCAACAGAGGCUGCGAAGAUAGUUGCAUAGAUUUGGUUUCUGGAGUUUGAUGAUGUCAACUUAAGAUCUAGAUACAAAACGAAUCGUGAUUGUCUUUCCCGGAGAUCCGGCCUUAUUUCCAUACCAAAGAAAAGCAGUUGUUUAAAAAUAACCGAAUUUUACGUUAGAAGUUGUAAUAUCGUAGGAGGUUGUUAUACAUGGGAUUUGUAAUCAUCCAUGCACUCCUAGAGACUUAUGUUAUCAGUGAAAAGAAACAGAUAUAACUUGUUGUACGUCCUUAAUGGCACUCUAUAUAGUGCACUUGAUUUUGACCAGGACACAUAGGACCUUGGUCUAAAGUAGUGCACUAUUUAGAGAAUAGGGUGCCAUUUGGAACACACUGUAUAAGUUUUGUUUCAUUUUGGAGGAGAGAAAAGAAAAGAGGAGAAGCUUCGAAAAUCCAUGUACAGCAUGUUGCUAAGGAAACACUGGGCCAGACAGCAUGUAAACGUAUAUGAAAUGGUGGAGGUCCUUGUUGUAACGUAUAUGAAAUGGCAAAGGUCCUUGUUGUUGCUUAGGAAACACUGGGCCAGACAGCAUGUAAACGUAUAUGAAAUGGCGGAGGUCCUUGUUGUUGCUAAGGAAACACUGGGCCAGACAGCAUGUAACGUAUAUGAAAUGGCGGAGGUCCUUGUUGUUUGCUUAGGCAAAACUGGGCCAGACAGCAUGUUGUUGAAACCAUCACUGCUAGCCAGCCAGCUAUGUGAUUAUAAUAGGAUGAUUUGCUUGAAUUUUGGCUAUUGUUAUUGUGGUAAAAGUCAUAGUCAAAAUUAAAGCUCCAUUAACUUGUAAAUAGGGUAGAUACAUAGAAAUGUAAGGCAUCAAGAAGAAAAAAAAGACUACUAUAUUAUGGCCAUCAUUCUAGCUAAGUAAGUCUAUGUGCCAUAUAAAGGAGAAGAAAAAAAGCUAAAUGUAUAUUAGUCAAGAUAAUAGAGACUGUGUGUUGUGUGUUGCAUUUCCGGCUCCUCAAUGUAUUUGUAAAAAGUAAUGCUGUCUGUUUGGUCUCUGGUUUGCUGAUGUGUUUUGACUUUCCUUUCAAAGGUAAUUAUUAUAAUAAUAAUGAUAAUAAUAGGUCUCUGAUGUGUGCUCUGAGCGAGAACAAUAGCAUGGUUUAUUGAUAAGAAGAAAAAAAAAAACAAGAGUUAUAUGAUAUAUAUAUAUAUAUAUAUAUAUAGCUGGUUGCAAACAUUUCUGCAACAUCAUCGAUUCUAUAGACAUUGUGUUCAUGUUUUCAACAAACAAACUUUGUAGGUUCACUUUUUAUUGCACUAAAUUUCUAUGCUAUGAAACAUGGCUUUGUCACAAACCUUAUAACGGACACAUGUCACGAGGGAAUGACGAAAUGAAGGCCCGCAACAACAACAACAACAACAAACACAACAAAAAAAAAAAUAUUUUUUAUGAUCUAAGAAAGAAUUGUCAUGUAGAAAAUGACUACUGUAAUUGUCAUGUAGCAAAAAAAACAAAAAAAAAGUGCAUUAAUAAUGAUCUCAGUGAGAUUUACUCAUUCUCAUCCACGAGAAUAUAAUCUAAGCGUUAAGGAAAAAUUAAAUGUUUAAAAUGAAUUUUUUUUUUUUAAAUGUUUAAAAACCUACAUGUUUCAUUAUGUUAAAAAAUGACUGUAGUACGUAGGCGUGCACGUGUUCAUGAUUUCUAUCCUACUACUUUGAAUUGUUAGGUGCCUCCAAAAUGGCACCCUAUUCCCUAUAUAGUACACUACUUUUUACCUGGUCAGAACUGUAGUAGUGCACUAUAUAGGGAAUAGGGUGCCUUUUCGAACGCACACUUAUUAAGGUAACCACUGUCUGCUGUGGUAAGGGCUGGCUCUGUGUACCUGACUGGUAGUGCUACUGUAAUACCUGACUGGCAGUGUUACUGUAGUACCUGACUGGCAGUGUUACUGUAGUACCUGACUGACAGUGUUACUGUAAUACCUGACUGGCAGUGUUACUGUAGUACCUGACUGACAGUGUUACUGUAGUACCUGACUGGCAGUGUUACUGUAGUACCUGACUGACAGUGUUACUGUAGUACCUGACUGGCAGUGUUACUGUAGUACCUGACUGACAGUGUUACUGUAGUACCUGACUGGCAGUGUUACUGUAGUACCUGACUGGCAGUGUUACUGUAGUACCUGACUGGCAGUUUUACUGUAGUACCUGACUGGCAGUGUUACUGUAGUACCUGACUGGCAGUGUUACUGUAAUACCUGACUGGCAGUGUUACUGUAAUACCUGACUGGCAGUGUUACUGUAGUACCUGACUGACAGUGUUACUGUAAUACCUGACUGACAGUGUUACUGUAAUACCUGACUGACAGUGUUACUGUAGUACCUGACUGGCAGUGUUACUGUAGUACCUGACUGGCAGUGUUACUGUAAUACCUGACUGGCAGUGUUACUGUAGUACCUGACUGGCAGUGUUACUGUAGUACCUGACUGGCAGUGUUACUGUAGUACCUGACUGGCAGUGUUACUGUAGUACCUGACUAACAGUGUUACUGUAAUACCUGACUGACAGUGUUACUGUAGUACCUGACUGGCAGUGUUACUGUAGUACCUGACUGGCAGUGUUACUGUAGUACCUGACUGGCAGUGUUACUGUAGUAUCUGACUGGCAGUGUUACUGUAGUUAACUUAAUUACAGUAAGUUACAUUAUUUUACAUUGUGGGCUGUUUACUUAAUAUAAGUUAAUAUUGUUCUGUUUGUAUGGAGCUGUUUCGUUAAUGAUGGAUUUAUGUUUUUAUUUUUACAUACUUUUUUUAAUGUAGCAUUUGUAAAGAAAUAUGUUGUUAAAAAAAAAAAUCAAGAUUUUUGGCAUUAUUACUAUAAGGCACUGAUAUUUGAAUUAAAUCUUUGAAUGAGGGAAAAUGCACCUCCAUCUUUAGAUGUACACGAGUUCCAACUAUAGAAUUAGAAUGAGUUCUAAUGAUUCUAUGGUUCCAUCAAGCAGUGACUCUACUCUGUACGUUGUGAGUUCUGACUGACCCUGAGCCAGUACCAACUCAGUUUGACUAUCCUGUUCAUUCCUACCAGUAGAAGAAGCUCCCUCCCUCUGUUGUUGUCUGGUGUAAUGUGUCAUAUGUACAGUAGCUUGUUAAUAUGGCAAAACAAAACAUUCAUGUUUCUUUUUUUUUUCAAUGGAAAGUACUCACUGGUGAGAUUUUUAAAGUGGUUUUAAAAGCCAAUAAACUUCUUUUUUUUUAAAGAA
ensembl:lncRNA